rnacentral:rRNA from 1 species
AGCUAGGAUGUUGGCUUGGAAGCAGCCAUUCAUUUAAAGAGUGCGUAACAGCUCACUAGUCGAGCGGUCCGGCAUGGAUAAUAAUCGGGCAUAAACAUAUUACCGAAGCUAUGGAUUUGUAUUUUCGGAUACAUCUGGUAGGAGAGCAUUCUAUUUGCUUAGAAGCAGUACUGUGAGGUAUUGUGGAGCGUAUAGAAAAGAAAAUGUAGGCAUAAGUAACGAUAAAGCGGGCGAGAAACCCGCUCACCGAAAGAC